UACAGAGGGGGCAAGCGUUGUUCGGAAUUAUUGGGCGUAAAGAGCUCGUAGGCGGUCUGUCGCGUCGGUCGUGAAAACUUGGGGCUUAACCCUGAGCUUGCGGUCGAUACGGGCAUGACUGGAGUUCGGCAGGGGAGACUGGAAUUCCUGGUGUAGCGGUGAAAUGCGCAGAUAUCAGGAGGAACACCGGUGGCGAAGGCGGAUCUCUGGGCCAUUACUGACGCUGAGGCACGAAAGCGUGGGGAGCAAACAGG
rnacentral:rRNA from 1 species